rnacentral:rRNA from 1 species
ACCGGCGACAUAUCUUUCAAAUGUCUGCCUUAUCAACUUUCGAUGGUAGUUUAUGCGCCUACCAUGGUUGUAACGGGUAACGAAGAAUCAGGGUUUGAUUUCGGAGAGGGAGCCUGAGAAACGGCUACCACAUCCAAGGAAGGCAGCAGGCACGCAAAUUACCCACUCCCGGCACGGGGAGGUAGUGACGAAACAUAACGAGGCGAUUCUCUACGAGACUCGCCAUCGGAAUGGGUACAAUCUAAAUCCUUUAACGAGGAUCUAUUGGAGGGCAAGUCUGGUGCCAGCAGCCGCGGUAAUUCCAGCUCCAAUAGCGUAUAUUAACGUUGUUGCGUUUAAAAAGCUCGUAGUUGGAUCUGCGACCUAGGAUAGCGGUCUGCCAAACGGUGUGUACUGCUUUUCCUGGUCUUAUUAUCCGGUUUUCCCUUGAUGCUCUUUGCUGAGUGUCCUGGGUGGCUGGAGAGUUUACUUUGAAAAAAUUAGAGUGCUCAAAGCAGGCGGUCUGCCUGAAUAAUGGUGCAUGGAAUAAUGGAAUAGGACCUCGGUUCUAUUUUGUUGGUUUUCGGAGCACGAGGUAAUGAUUAAAAGGGACAGACGGGGGCAUUCGUAUUGUGGCGCUAGAGGUGAAAUUCUUGGACCGCCGCAAGACGAACUACUGCGAAAGCAUUUGCCAAGAAUGUU